AGUCCCCGCUGCAAGCAGCUCUGAGGGGAUGUGAGUCACUGCAGGGAAAAUCCCGGCAGCAGAAAGAAAGUUUGGGUUUCGGAGAACCUCUCCUUCAAGCUGCAGGCACCUCGCUCACUCUCGAGCUGGGGCCAAGAUAUGAAAGCCAACCCCAGAGAAACUUGGAUCAGAAUCCUUGGAACUUCGACGUUAUUUUACAUGAUAAAGAAACUGAGACCCAGAGAGAUAAAUGGACUGGAAUGAUGAUCCCCCAAAAAGAAACGGACCCAGAGCUUGAAUUUUAAUCAUAAGGUUUCUAAACCUAGUUUUACAGAUGUGGAAAUAGAGGCCCAGAAAUCAUGAGACUUGAGUUAGGAUUCUAGGAGCCUGUCCCCUUCUUUUUACAGGUGAGAAAACUGAGGUUCAGGAAGUUAUUCACUCUCUCAAAUUCACAUGGUAUGUAUCUGACAGGAUUUGAACCCAGGUUUUUCUCACUCCAAAUCCUAUACUCUACUAUGCAAACCUGCCUCAUCCUUUUGCCAUAUAUUUUAUAUUUCUUCACAUACAUAUAAUUUGCAGCCACCACUUGUCCAUAUUUUGUUCAUUGAAGCAGAAAUUAAUAUGAAAAUUGGAUUUGUCAAGUAAGGUCUUUCCCCCAAUCUGACUCUAGCUUAUUUUUUUCAGGCUAAAUUUAUGACUUCCUCUUCCAUUAUUGCUCUACUCUAGCCAGAUUGGACUACUAAAGCCUUCAAAAUAUUUCGAUUCUUUUAGGAAGUCUGUGACUACUUAGCUCUUAGUAGCAGUCUGGGUUUGUAGUCAGAAAGACCCAAGUUUGAAUCUGGUUUGAUACUGGAUCAGAAAGGGCAUAAGCAUUUAUAAAGCUGUGCUAAAUGCCUUAUAAAUAUCUUAUUGAUCCUUGAAAUAACCCUAUGAGGCAGUUACUUUUAUUAUUCACAUUUUAUAAUUGAGGAAACUGAGGCAAACAGGUUGAGUGACUUGCCCAUGGUUAAAUAGCUAUUGUUUCAGGAAUAACCUGACCCAGCUCCCUAUCUUCUGUACCCCCUUUUAGACUGAGAAAAUAAUUUAACCUCUUUAUUUCCCAGUAUCUUCAUCUAUAAAAUGGGUCUAAUAAUAAUUACUAGCCUCAGGCAUAGUAUUUCAUGAGAUUGUCAUUAGGAAAAUGUUUUGUACAUCUUUUAAGUGUGAGCUAUCACAGUGAUAAGCACUUAUUCCUGUCGUUCAUAAAUCUUUCUCAUCCCAUGUCCUGAACUCAAUUAUUACUUAUCUCUUUUCUGGGCCUAGAGUCUGAACUUCUAGCUGUGAAGCCUUGCCCUGAGGCAAAGCUAUAGUUGGAGAUCUUACAAGACUAGUCAAAUCAGUGUAAAGCUCUUUUCAUAACUGGAAAGUAACUCAUAACACAGACCCUGAUAAUAGCAAGAGGGCAGUGUGUAAUGUCCAGAUGUGAUGUUUGUCUGUUAGGAUUAAAGAAAAAAAAAAAGAAUGAAGAUAUCAAACAAGUCCAUCCCUCAGUGCAGAUGGGAUUUUAUUAUACUUCUCCCUCAGAACUUUUCUUUAUAUUCCUCCAUAACUCUAUUAUAUGCCACCUAGUGACUUCUUUAGGAAGUGCAUGAUAGGGAAUGUAAUAAGAUUGGGCAAGGAUGAAAAUUCAGAACUUUUUUUUUUUUUCAUUUUGAGAGAAUGGAAUGGGCCUGGGGUGGAGGUUGGAGAAUGACUUUGAAAGGACUACAUUGACAAAAGCCUCAUAGCUGAACAGGAGGACCCUGGAAAUUACAGCUACCCUAUUUUAUUUGGAUUUGGUCAAAUGAUAGCAGGCCACUGAACACAUUUAUUUAAAAGUAAUCUCAAAUGUUUUCUUAAUUAAAUUCUCUUCAUCUAACACAUGGGGGGAAAAAAAUCUUAAGAGUUUUUAAUUCCUAAUUCUUAAACAAAGGAAAACUAACCACUUCUCUGCCUCUGGGGUACAGCAGAAAAGGUACCAUGAUAAUAAAAUUUUGAGUCAUGUCCUCUCUCUCUCUCAUCUUGUGUCUGAUCUGUAAAAGGAAACAUUUGACAUCUAAGGUCCCAGUCCCAAUCCAGACUCUUUGAUGAUGUUAACCUUUUUCUCUUUUAAAGAACUGUCAUUUUACUGAAAGAUAGGCAGAAGCAUUUAAAACUUCAAAUCCAUUCAAGGUAUUAGAUCAACCUUAAAAUGUUCAUUUCUACUUAGUCCCAGUGAUGCUCUUAUUCCAGCUUUGACUUUCAUCUCUCAACUAUAAGCAAGUUGCUGGAGUUUCAAAAUCAGAUAUAAAGUUGAGAAAAUCUAGAUGCCAACAUCCAGAUAAAGAAGUAGCACGGCUUAUGUUGACUAUUAGAACUCUAGUUUAAGGCUAUAAAUCUGGACAAAUGUAAACUUAAUCUCUCAAACCAGCAAAUAGGAUUUCUUCAUUUGGAUUAAGGUACUUCAUUUGUCUACCAGGUAGAAGAAGAAAGAGUAUCCAUAUUUGAUGAAUAUGACUUUUUGUUGAUAAGGAAAACAAAUGAUUCUGUUUUGUCUCAAAAGUUUAUUCUGUUUUAAAAGUGUUGUUGCAUUACUUUAAAGGUAAUCUGUGGGAAUUAGAAUUCACAGGAUUAUAGAAGGGUGGGGUUUUAAACCACAUCAUGGAAAAGUAAAUCUUUAAAGAAUUGAAAACCUAAUAUUACAUAGAUUUCCAUUUCUAAAUACAGUAUAUACAAGAAGUUUAAACAUACCAUUUCCAUGUACUUUCAGCUAUAAAAAAUAGGGUAAUUAACUGUAUACUAAUUAUAAAUAUUUAAACAAUUUAAGUAGCAUUUCAUAUGAAAAGCAUAACUGUGCAAUGAAAGAAGAACAUUCUGAGGGAUUAUUUUAGUGUCUAAAGUUAUGUAAGAUAAAAUUCAGAAAGUUCAGUGUGUAAAGUCAAACCCUGAUUUAACAAAAUAAGACAAUAUAUUGAGUCUUAACUGAUAGGGAAAAAAACAGUGAAUUACAUAUGGCAUUAUUUUCUAAAAGGAUAGCAGUUCUGUAUCACAUAUAUGAUUUUCCAUAUACACAUGAUAGUUUUUAUUUUUGUAGUUUUGUGCCACUCCUUUCUCCCAAUUUCAAAUAUAAUCAUCAUUUUUCACAUCUAGGAAAAAAAUUCCAGUUAGUUGAUGCUAAGUGUUUCUGAAAAUUUUUUUAAAAUAAGCUUUGAUAUUUCAGUGCCAAAUAGGGAAAUUUAUAGCAUUCCCCAAGGUGGGACUGAUAGAACAUCAUACGUUUUUAUUAUAUAAAAAGGAGAAGAAAAUUCACAACUUUCUUAAAAAAAAAGGAACAGUCCUAAACUACUCAGGUACAGCAGGAGACCUCUUGCCUCCACUCAGUCCAUAUUGUUAUUUGCAAAAUCAAUUAAAAUUAAUAUGAGUAACAGACUUCUAAAGUAAGGUUAGGUGACACCUAUUUUUCCAGUAGUAUUUAAGUCUUACUAAGCAAGAUGGAUCAAUAAGCAGCGUGACCUAAUGGGAAAAGCCUUGGGACCAGAAGUUGGAAAAAAUUUGGAUUUGAGUUCAUGCUCCCUCCUAGCUGUAUGACUGUGGGCAAUUCACUGGAACUUGGUGAGCCUCAGUUACCUUACCUGAGAAAUGUGGAAUAAUGAUAGUUAUAUGCUGCUUACUUCAUAGGGCAUUAAAGAGUGCACUUUAAGGCACUAUUAAAAACAAACAACAGAUGAGAUCUGCUAUUUAUGAUCAGUACUCCAGAGGGGAGAAAGAGCAACAGGUGUUGGGGAUAACCACAGCAUUACUACCUGCUGCAGAAUUGCAGUUUGGGGUGGGGGGGGUGUUCUUAUUUUAAGUAGCUUGUCAUGAGUCCUAGCACUUAGCACAGUACCUAGCAUAAAACAGGCUCUUAAUAAAUGUUGAUUGAUUGAUGAAUGUUCUGACUCUACUAUCCUAGGGAUAGAUAUAUAGGGCUCUCAGUGAAACUAUCUCAUGUUAUAUAAAAAGUUAAACACAUGCCAAGCUGCAGAAUUUUAUAAGAUAGAGGAAAUCUUUGUGGUGAAUGCUGUGCAAAGGUCUCUUCUCCCCUCCCCCCAAAAGAAAGUGCUUGGAGAUAUAUACUUAUAUAUAUAUCCACACAUAUGCUGUAUGUAGUAUGUCCUUGGGGCUUCUGAAUUAGAGAUAUUUCAGGGACUUUUUAUUAACUUUAAACUAAGUAAUAAUGUAUACUACAGUAUGAUUAAAGAUGACUGCUUGCCAAAAUGAUCACCAUUCAACCUGUUCUCUAAUAUUAUGAAUAUCUUUUUUAUGAAGGAACUUGACACAAGAUUAUCAUCUUCAAAUCAAAGUAGUUUCCAUUUUUCAUGCCAUUCAACACAUGUAUUUUCUACCUAACCUUCCUGUUACUGAAUGGCAAUAUCCAGUUGCUCUUACUAUCAAGGCUGGAAUGAACCAUAGACUUAAGGAGGGCUGGUCUUUGGUAAGACCCAUCAUUAUAAAUUAUACAGUUUCUCCUCUCCAGGUUUAGGGAAAACUUUUUUCCCCAAGUUCUUAACAGACAAAAGAAAUUCGGCCAAGUGCUUUUCAAGCACAGGUCAGACACCAUUGUUUUUGGAAACUUUUUUUUUAACAAUGUCCUGAGCUUCUUCACUGUCCCCAGUGACCAGGUCUAAAGGGGCAAAACUAAAAAUAAGUGAUGACUUGAUUACCAUAAAAUAUGACAAAAUUCACAGAUGGCUAAUGGAGCCCUCCAGAGUUUGAAUGAGUGAAGGUGGAUGUGAAUGAGAAAAAAAACUUCUUUCAAAAUCUGAGAAAUAUAAAAGUCUUAGAAGAAAUAAAGUAGUAGUAGUAGUUGUUUUUUAAAAGAAGUGCUGUGUUCUACAAAAUUUCUCUGCCACAUUCAGAACGUCAGAUGCUUAAAGAAGGAUAUAUCCCAUUCAAUGGUUCUUCUCAUUGAGUUUAAUAGUAACUGUUUUCACUUCUGUGUAUUCUGCCAAAGCAUAUUCGCCUCUGUAAUGAGAAAAACAAUUUUAAAAUCACAUUCUCCAGAUUCCUUAUGUAAUGUGUGUGUAUUUUAAAUUGCUUUGCCCAUAUAAUUGCCAAAUCACUUUGAAUUCUGGCUACUUGACUGAUUAUCCACUGGAAGAGAUCAUUGGAAAGUAGAUUAGGAAAUUGGACAUGUUAAUGAAGGUGAGGACACCUGGAGAGAGGUUUGCCUAACAUAUUUUAAUUGGGAUGAUGGCCUUUAAAUAUUCAGAAUUCACUGGCAAGAAGAGAGCUCAUCCACCCAGGGUAAAAGACUCUAGAAAGACCUAACUGGACUUGAUAAGUUGGCAUUACUCAAAUCCUUCUUAAAGUGCAGUUAUGAGUCCUUCAGAGGGGAUAGGAAAAGAAUGUGUGGAGGCUGGAGUUUCUGAAGGCAAGAGAGAGAGAGCCACUAAAAAAGAAUUGGGGCAUUUAGUAGUCAGAGUGGGGUUUCUGGAUGCAGGAGAGAGCUAUUUAGUGAUCAGAGAAAUCUUCCCUUCCUACAAAAACAAACAAAACCCCCUCUGUUUUAUUUAAAGCAAUGACAUCGUUUUUGUUAAACUUUUAAUUUUUAUUUUUAGUUCCAAAUUCUUUUCCUGCCUCUGCCCUCUUUCUCACACAUUCAAAAGGCAAAAACAUACAAUAUCCAUUAUAUCUAUGAAGUCAUGAAAAACAUUUUCAUAGCCAUGUUUCAAAAAAAGCAAGAAGAAUAAAAGUGAAAAAAUUAAAGCAGUGGCAUCUUAAUUUUUUUAAGCCCUAUAUUUCAUUGAGAGAGAGACAGAUGGGCAUAAUGGAUAAAAGACUAGUCUGGGAAUCAAGAAGAUCUAUUUGUGAAACUGAAUGGACAGAUGUCUUCAUUUCUCAGUGUCUCAAGCAACUAUGAGCUUCUGGGAAAGUUUUUAUAGAGCCAUUCCCUAAAAUAAUGAAAUGUCUACUCUCUACACCCCUCCCCCCAAUCAAAAACAGGGGAAAGGGGCAAAAGCCUCUGAAAACCCCUGUACCUUUAUAUACAAAGCCCUGUGCUAGAUACCUGAGUAGGGGCAAAAUGAACAAAACAAAGGCUCUGCCCUCAAUGAGUUUACAGUCUUAUAAGGCAAAUAAUCUGUAAACAUAUAGAGAAAUACUGAAAAAAAAAAAGAAUCUCUAGUUAGUGAAUAAAAUAGUAUGGUUUUUUCUAACUAAAUAUGAUUUUAACUGAUGGCAGAGUUACUAAAUACAUCUAUAAGACUAAAAUGCAAUUGGGAAGUAUUUAAUGAGGUAAAUAAAAAUAGAAUAAAACAAUGUCAAUAAAUGGUUUUCUAAGGCAAUAUGUGUCCAAAGUGAUCCUGAAAUUGGCCCCAUUUCUAUUUGAAACCUGGUAGUCUAGAGAAAUCUAGGGGAAGCUAGGGGAUACAGUAGAUAAGUCAAGAAGACUGGAAUUCAAAUAUGGCCUUAGACCCUUAUUAGCUGUGUGACCCUGGGCAAGUCACUUAACCCUGUUUGCCUUAGUUUCCUCGUGUGUCAAAUAAACUAGAGAAGGAAAUGGAAAACCACUCCAGAAUCUUUGCUAAGAAGACCUUAAAUCUGGAGUCAUGAAGAGACAAACUUGAUUAAAAUGAUGGGGUUGAGGCAACAAGAGAAAUCCUAGUGAAAAAAUGCCCUCUACCACUGUGGGUCAGCAGCUGCUUUUGCAAUCUAUAUAGUCUUAGAGAAUAUUGAACUGUUAAAGUGAAAUAUCUCUUUUUUUUUAAAGAGAGAAAUGCUUCAUUGAUCCAUUUUCACAAAAUUUACAUACAUCCAUUAUGGUGGAAUCCACUGGCAUUUGUGUUUCAUUCUACAAAUGAUCCCCAGGUGUCUUUUUCUAGAAUAACAGCUUUGUACAGAUAGUGAUCUAUGAAUGGACACACAGUCUUUGCCCUUUCUGCUGGUUUCCUCUGGCCCUGGCCUGUCUACCAUAGGAGCCAGUCUUGCCUCUGGGAUUUAUAGCUUGCUCAUUGAAGUGAGAGCAAGCACUGGGGCAGAGGUCGAGAUGCAGAGAUCUGGGUCUAUGUCUCCAUCUAAAAACCAUCUUCCGUAAGUCUUCAGAGCCCUUUCCACAGUAUCCGGAGCCCAACAGCCAGGAGGAGAAAGGACAGCAGCAAUACUUGAAAAAUGCUAGAGUUCCAGGGUCAUCUGCUCUACAUUCUCCCCAAGAAGCAGUCAAUAGUAAUAGCCUCACCUUACCCCAGCCUUGAGGAUGCACACUGAAUUCCUGCCUUUCCUGGCCUGACAAUGAAGAAGAUUUUCAGGUUUUUCUCCACUCCAGCACUGAAACAGGAAACAGGAUGUUGAACGAUCUAUGAAGAAGCACCUUUGACCAGCCAUCAUGGGGAUGGGGCCAGAGGUAGUUUCUGACACAGAUGGGCUGAAUCCAUGUUCUACUAUCCUUUGAGGGUCUUACAUGGACAAUUCAGCCUGAGUUCUGGUGGAGAUGGUAGAGGGGCAGCCCCUUUGGCCCCAAAUUAUGACUUCUUUAUUCUUCCCUUUAAUGCUACUCCAGGGUCCUCGUGUCCUCCUUCCCUGAUAUCAGACUGCCAUUGUUAUUCCAAAAUGCUUCUACUGGUUCAUUUUCAUAAAAUAAUCAUUAGAUUAUUGAAUCUACUGGCAUUUAUGAUUACAGAGGUAGAUCUUAUUUCCCAAGUGAACUGGAAUGCCAAGGGCUUUCUCAGCUACCAGGCAGCCCUGAGGAGCCCCCACUUCUGUCAUGGGAGGUGUUAUCAGAUCCUAGGAGGGAGAGGGGGAAGUAGACAGAAGAACAGUCCAUCUUGCCUUUCAUUUCCUGACUGUCCUUCUGAAGCUCUCCGGGUUCAGGCCACAGUGUCUGGAGCACAGUGAUAACCAGAAAAUUCAAGUACACAUGGUUUCAAACCUUGCCUCAGAGGCUAAUUUACUUUAUGACUGGGCAAAGUUUAGCAUUCUUAUCUGUAAAAUGGGGGAAAUAACAGCACUUGCUUCCCAGGGAUUUUAUGAGGACUAAAUGAGCAUAUGUAUAAUAUGUAAAAGAACUUUACAAAACUUAAAGCAUUAUAUAAAUAUUAGCUUUUUAUUGUUCCUAAGGGUCAAGGGUCACAUGUUCUCUUUCCCCUGCCCAGGCUGGACUCAGUGGGGGAAGCCUUUCUUGGGACCUGACCCUACUUCGAGCAUCCAUUUGGGCAGCUUCUCUUUAUCUUGACUCAGAACUGAAUGGGGAGUGAGACCAGUCUAGAAUCCCAUGUCUUUAAAGCAGAUGAAGUGGAGAUUACAGCCCAGGUCCCAGGCUCCAGGCAGCAGCUUGUCUUUGAGGACAGAACACAGCAAGCUGCACAAGGAUGCCUUUUCUACUUCUGCAUACACUCAAGUUUUCAUCCAUGGAAGAGACAUAAAAUCAGUGACUAGAACCUGCAAAUAAACGUCACUUGUAAUCUAGCAUCAUGAUCCUCUGUUACAGAAGAUUUUCUGGAUUUGAGGAAGGAUCCUUGAUAGAUGAAGAAAUUUGCUAAAGUUCCUUUCAAAUAACAUUAUUAGUAUCUUUAUGCUUUCUGCCCACUUGGCUACUCAACCAGUCAUCUCCUUGGCCAGUUUUCUUACUCUGAUUAGCCAGCUGCUUCAACUAGGCCUUGACCUAGAAGGCCACACCAGAAGAGACUGUUGAUCCUCUGGCAUUUUAUUGCCUAGAAAAGCAAUGAUUCGUGGCACACAUUGCCCAGGUGCACGAAGCAUACGAUGAGUUGAGAACUGAAACAACUGAAACUGGAUUGGUUUCAACUGAGAAACAUAUGAAGUAGAAAAAUGCUUCUCCUCAAACUGUCCUCUGAUGAGGCAAGUUCAAAUACUCAGAAAAUUCAAGUUAAAUUUACAAAAGAAGACACCCAGAUCAGAGGGCAUAUACAUGAGGGUUCUGAAGGUACUCCAGGAUGAAAUUUGAGAGUUAUUUGUCAAAAAUGAAUCAUUUACUACCCAGUGGAAUUGCCUGUGGGCUAUGGGAAGGGUGGGGUUAGGGGAGGGAGGGAUAGAAUACAAUUCUUAUAACCAAGGAAUAAUAUUCUAAAUUGACGAAAUAAAAUAAAAAAUAAAAAUGAAUAAUUUAAGAGAUUAUACAUUAGAGCCCUUCCAUGGUGCAGAGUAUUUCAAGUGGGGUUAGGAAGUAGGAAAUAGAAUUAUCAAAGACUCAGACAUAGAAAUGAGCAUGAUGGUCUAAGGAACAAUGAACUUAUUAGCCAAAUGUCAUUAAUGGUUUAAGCUGAUAAUUAUGAAAGAAAAGAUUGGACAAUUAAAGUGGAACCCAAACAUGCUAUUAUAUUCUUGAAAAUGUAGUUCAUUUUGUUGUUGUUCACUUGGGGGCUUAAUGAAAAAGGAGUGACAGAAUGUUGUUCUACAAAGGGCGCUAGACAUAGCUGAAUUGAAGUCGAACUAGAAAGAACUGGGUAGAAGCCUUGUUUUGCUAUUUAUUAGUUGUGAAACAUUGGGCUUCUCUGGGUAUCCGCUUCCCUGUCACAAAAUGUAAUACUAAUACCUGACCUGUCUACCUCACAGUGUAGAUCAGCAACCUUAGAUAAUAUAUGUUAAAAUACUUUGGAAACUAUGCAAUACAAUAAAAAUGUAUAAGAUAUUAUUAUUAAAAUUAUUAUUAUUGUUAACAAAACUUACAGUUCUCUGCCA